rnacentral:rRNA from 1 species
UACAGAGGGGGCAAGCGUUGUUCGGAAUUACUGGGCGUAAAGGGCGCGUAGGCGGCCUUCUAAGUCGAACGUGAAAUCCCUGGGCUCAACCUCGAGAGGUCGGUGGAAACCGUCUGGCUAGAGUCCGGAAGAGGAGAGUGGAAUUCCCGGUGUAGCGGUGAAAUGCGCAGAUAUCGGGAAGAACACCCGUGGCGAAGGCGGCUCUCUGGGACGGUACUGACGCUGAGACGCGAAAGCGUGGGGAGCAAACAGG